rnacentral:rRNA from 1 species
CGACGAAUCUUCCGCAAUGGGCGAAAGCCUGACGGAGCGACGCCGCGUGUGGGAUGAAGCGGCUUUGCCGUGUAAACCACUGUCAGGAAAUAGAAACACUGAUCAUUUCCAAAGGAAGGGGCGACUAACUCUGUGCCAGCAGUCGCGGUAAUACAGAGGCCCCGAGCGUUAGUCGGAAUUACUGGGCUUAAAGGGUGCGUAGGCGGACCGUUAAGUGUCGUGUGAAAGCCUGCGGCUUAACCGCAGAACCGCACGGCAAACUGGCGGUCUUGAGGAAGGUAGAGGCGGGCAGAACGGUUGGUGGAGCGGUGGAAUGCGUAGAUAUCAACCGGAAUGCCGAAGGUGAAGACAGCCCGCUGGGCCUUUCCUGACGCUGAGGCACGAAAGCGUGGGGAGCAAA